CACCGGUGGGCAGAGGUGCUUGUGAAGGGAACAGGGCAGAAAGGAGCAUCCCCGGGGCUGGAACCAAGCCUUGCCCUCGUGGGGAGCCGUGCCCUUGGCUGGCCAGCAGGAGAUGAGCCCAAAUCCUUCCCACUGCUGCGUGCUGCCUUCACCGCGGGGCCGUCCUUUCCCUUUGCUGGUGCAGUUCCCAUUCCUCUUCCAGCAGCUGAGUAAUGGCUUUGGGUGGAUGACACCGCACUGAUUUAGGGGCUUGACCUUGGGAAUGCUCCUGCAAAAGCUGCGGUUUCCUGAGCACAGCUUCACGUUUCCUUUUAUGAACACUUCACAGGUUCCACGUAUAUUUGGUUCUGACCAGGAGCAGCGCAGGACCAGUGCAGGAGAAGCCGAGGUGCCGCCAGGUGCCACCAGGGUCCCCCCCCGUUGCUCGUGGCUGCUGCCAGGAUCCCCCACGUGCACGCUCAGCACCAGAGGCUGCCGCCCCCAGGGCAUUUACCUGCUCACACCCACGCAGAGCCGAGCUGGCGGCGGGCUCAGGUGUUUACACCAGAUAAACGCCGACCAUCCCCGAGCCGCGGGCCCCGCGCAGCCCAAGUAUGAAACGCGCAUUCCUGUCUUUCAUUUCCAUAUGGUUUUUAUGGGUCCUCCAUGCAGGAACCAGAGCAAAAGCCUCAUUCAGAAGCCUCCCAGCUUGGCAGAUUUAUUGCCAAAUUAAGGAAGAAGGAAGCACAUCAGCUGUCUGGCCCAGGUAGAGGGAAUUAUCUCUGCUUGAGAGGAACCAGACAAAGCGAAGGCUUGAGCCCUGGGAGCCUUCCCAACACAGCCAAGACAACCUGCAAAGUUUGGAGCGGCUGUGACGAGCUCGGUGGCCCUGUGGCCCCUGGGUGGUGGCAGGGAAGUGGCCGUGUGGCCACCGGUGCCACCCACGGCAGGGGCGGUCCCCAUGGAGCUGCAUGGCUCGCCGCUGCCGCCGCGGCUCAUGCAAAUAACCGCUGCAAGCAGAACUGCAUUUCUAUAUUUAAUAAGCUGGAUAUUUACGUUAACUAAAUAGCAGCUAAUUAUGAAAACAUACUUAAGAGUCUGAGCAAUUAAGCAAUAAUAUAUUACAUAGUUAUUAAGCCUCCAAUACACGUCUUUAAUAAUCAAAAUAUUAAUAUGCAGCUACUCUCCUAUUAUACAGCAACUCCGCUAUUAUACCGAGAGUGUCCUAUUACUGCCAAAUUAAAUGCAUAGUUAGGCGAAUUUAGGACACUUAAUUUAAUGUGUUCCCAAGAGUUCACUAUGGCAGAUUCUGCGAGACCGGCCUCCUCCGAGGUAGCCCGGCGUUCCUGGAGCUGCUCCUUUCUCCAGCGCACGCUUAACCCCCGGGGGCAGCAAAGGGCCGGGGGGCAGCCAAGGGCCGGGGGGCAGCCAAUUCCCAAUGGCACGAGGGGAAAGCCCCUGUGCGGGGUCUUUGCUUUGCUUUUAGUGGAUUGGAAUGGAAAGGAGGUUGUCGGGUAGAGAUGGGGCUGGAGAGCAGAGGUGAAAAAGCCAGCCACAAGUGGGGAAAGCAGCGGGUGGGUUCCUGUGUUGCCCUGAACAGGUAAUUCUCAUUUAUCCAACCAAGCUGUACCUAGCUGUAAAGUCACAGGCACAAACUCCGAUUUUCCCCAUGUAGUCACCACCCGGUUGUAUCUCAGAUACUCCUGGAGGGGGGAGAGGGUGCUAAACCCAUGCGUAAAUCCUUACUGCAAAACCUUGGGGAAUAUUUUCCCUUUUUUAAUCAAGCCCUGCAACAAUAGGCUUCAUUCUUCACCACUUUACACGUUUUCUCCUGUGCAAAGUGGGUGUGAAAUGUAAACAGGCUGAUUUGGUGUCAAUUUACACCUCGCUUUGCAUAGAAAUAAAUAAAGGUGGGAAAGGCAGGGACGGGGGAAAAACCUCAAGUCUGAGGCACGCCGCCCUUCCUCCGCCACUGUGCCGCAGGGGACAAGGGAGAAACGUGGGUCCCUGUGUCACGGGGCCCUUUCAGCUCAAAAUAAUCAAAAUUCAGCAUCCAACCGAUUACAUUUGGAAUGCCCAUAGCUGCGUGAGGUGUGGACAAGGGGUGAUUCCUUCUAAUAAGCUGCUGGCAUGGGUCUGGGCAGCCACGAGAUGCCCUGGA